AUCCAGCACAUCUAUACAAAAGAAACGUGUUAUCAUUCAAUUGUGCAUUUGAUCACUGUUCAUCUCUUGUUUAUUGCCACAACAAGUAUAUUCCUUUAACUGUUAAACAUUCAACACAUUAAGGUAUCAAAUUAAUUUAGUUAAGGACAGCAGAGCUCAGGAGGCAGGAGGUCAAGCCAAAUCCCCUUUGUUGCAUAUAAGCAACCCACUGCCCAAAAGUUAUAGUGAAACAUUCAGUCAGACAGAGCUGGUAGUCCACCUUGUGGCCAGAUAUAGAAAUUCUACACAGCCUUGUUUAACACAGUAGGCGUGCCACAGUAAGCUCAAGAAAUGAAUGCAUGAGGUACACUUGGGAUGAAUGUGUAUUUGAAUGGUUCUGUUGAAAGUGGAUGGCAAGGGCACUGCUGUUUAGCUUAUUAAACAGAUAGGACAAAGUACAAAGUAGGUCACAGAAAAAAAACUCUCAGGUUUUCUGCACAGUCAGAGUCACUGACACUGAAAAAUAGAGGCUAGAAUGCUGUUUAUUUCAGAUAUCUGACACCAAUAUCUCCAAAGGAUAUUAGCCUUUUCCUCUAGGUCAGCUUUACAAACACACAAACCACCACCAGAAUGUGUAUCCAGGCUGGAUAAUGUCAUAAUAAAAGAACACAGGGAUCCGUAACCUUUGCCCUGUUAGUCUCCAUAGAGACAUUUCCAAAGAGACAUCUGUGUUCACACACAUGAUUUUAUAAGCGCACAGCAGGUCUAUCUACUACACAUUGUCUUGAGCAGAGGAGGUAUACUGAAAUAUCUAAAUAGCAGGUUUAUCUAUUUAUAUUCUUAAUAUAAGAAUAAAACACUUUAUGCCCACAGUGUACAUAUUUGUUGGUCUUUUUAGUCUU